rnacentral:rRNA from 1 species
UGCGUAGGCGGAUAUUUAAGUCAGAUGUGAAAUUCCAGGGCUCAACUUUGGAACUGCAUUUGAAACUGGACAUCUAGAGUACAGGAGAGGAAAGCGGAAUUCCUAGUGUAGCGGUGAAAUGCGUAGAUAUUAGGAAGAACCCCAGUGGCGAAGGCGGCUUUCUGGACUGUAACUGACGCUGAGGCACGAAAGCGUGGGGAGCAAACAGGAUUAGAUACCCUGGUAGUCCACGCUGUAAACGAUGAGUGCUAGGUGUGGGGGGUUUCGACACCCUCUGUGCCGCAGUAAACGCAAUAAGCACUCCGCCUGGGGAGUACGGUCGCAAGACUAAA